GACGAACGCUGGCGGCGUGCUUAACACAUGCAAGUCGAACGCGAAAUUUUUCUUCGGAAGAAGAGUAGAGUGGCGCACGGGUGAGUAACGCGUAAGUUAUCUACCUCGGCAUCUGGAAUAACUCACCGAAAGGUGUGCUAAUACCGGAUACGUUGAGUAAUCAAGAAAGGUGGCCUCUGAAUAUGCUACUGUGCUGAGAUGAGCUUGCGUACCAUUAGCUAGUUGGUAGGGUAAUGGCCUACCAAGGCGACGAUGGUUAGCGGGGCUGAGAGGAUGAUCCGCCAAACUGGAACUGGAACACGGACCAGACUCCUACGGGAGGCAGCAGUGAGGAAUAUUGCGCAAUGGGGGCAAACCUGACGCAGCGACGCCGCGUGGAUGAUGAAGGCCUUCGGGUCGUAAAAUCCUGUCAAGUGGAAAGAAGUGCAUAGUGGUUAAUACCUGCUAUGUUUGACGGUACCACUGAAGGAAGCACCGGCUAACUCCGUGUCAGCAGCCGCAGUAA
rnacentral:rRNA from 1 species